GAUGAACGCUGGCGGCGUGCUUAACACAUGCAAGUCGAACGAAGCACUUUAUUUGAUUUCCUUCGGGACUGAUUAUUUUGUGACUGAGUGGCGGACGGGUGAGUAACGCGUGGGUAACCUGCCUUGUACAGGGGGAUAACAGUUGGAAACGGCUGCUAAUACCGCAUAAGCGCACAGCAUCGCAUGAUGCAGUGUGAAAAACUCCGGUGGUAUAAGAUGGACCCGCGUUGGAUUAGCUAGUUGGUGAGGUAACGGCCCACCAAGGCGACGAUCCAUAGCCGACCUGAGAGGGUGACCGGCCACAUUGGGACUGAGACACGGCCCAAACUCCUACGGGAGGCAGCAGUGGGGAAUAUUGCACAAUGGGCGAAAGCCUGAGGCAGCGACGCCGCGUGAGCGAAGAAGUAUUUCGGUAUGUAAAGCUCUAUCAGCAGGGAAGAUAAUGACGGUACCUGACUAAGAAGCACCGGCUAAAUACGU
rnacentral:rRNA from 1 species